GGAUGUGAGGGCGAUCUGGCUGUGACAUCUGUCACCCGGGUGAUCACCAGGGCUGAUGUGGCUGACCUGGCUGGCAAGGUGGUCUAGUGUCUCCUUCUUCCCUCAAUGCUCCAUGUGUGUCCCUCCUGAAGCUGCACGCUCAGUCAAAGAGGACAACCACCCCUGAUAGAAGAGGACUGGGCAUACAAAUAGCUGUGCUCCCCUGCCGGAACCUCCAAAUAGGCUCUUAAAAUGGCUAUGCUAUUUUGACUUUCAAGAAGGUAAGCAGUGUUAUCUUGUAGUUUUAAUUUUCAUCUAACGAUUAGUAAUACUGAGAAGUU
rnacentral:snRNA from 1 species